GACGAACGCUGGCGGCGCGCUUAACACAUGCAAGUCGAGCGAGAACCAGUCCUUCGGGACUGGGGAGAACGGCGAACGGGUGAGUAACACGUGGGUAAUCUGCCCUCGGCACUGGGAUAGCCCGGGGAAACCCGGAUUAAUACCGGAUAGCCUUUCGAGCCUUCGGGCUCGUCAGAAAAGGUGGCUUCGGCUUCCGGCUGAGGAUGAGCCCGCGGCGGAUUAGCUUGUUGGUGGGGUAAUGGCCCACCAAGGCGACGAUCCGUAGCUGGUCUGAGAGGACGAUCAGCCACACUGGGACUGAGACACGGCCCAGACUCCUACGGGAGGCAGCAGUGGGGAAUCUUGCGCAAUGGGCGAAAGCCUGACGCAGCGACGCCGCGUGCGGGAAGAAGGCCUUCGGGUUGUAAACCGCUUUCAGGAGGGACGAAGCCACUCGGGUUAAUAGCCCAGAGGGUGACGGUACCUCCAGAAGAAGCCCCGGCUAACUACGUGCCAGCAGCCGCGGUAAAAC
rnacentral:rRNA from 1 species